rnacentral:rRNA from 1 species
UACGUAGGGUGCAAGCGUUUGUCCGGAAUUAUUGGGCGUAAAGAGCUCGUAGGCGGUUCGUCACGUCGGCUGUGAAAUCCCGAGGCUCAACCUCGGGUCUGCAGUCGAUACGGGCGGACUUGAGUACUGCAGGGGAGACUGGAAUUCCUGGUGUAGCGGUGAAAUGCGCAGAUAUCAGGAGGAACACCGGUGGCGAAGGCGGGUCUCUGGGCCGUUACUGACGCUGAGGAGCGAAAGCGUGGGGGAGCGAACAGG